UAUAAUCUCACUCCAUCCAGUGCUCUGUCACUCACCUAAAUCCUGGGUGGCAGGGGCUUCGUUCCCACACUGUGCAGAUUCAAGCAGACACCGGAUGCCCAGGGACCCUGGCUUUAGGAGUUGGCAAGGGAUUUACCCAAUGCUGAGCAGGAGUUCAAUGAGCUUCCGUUUCCUGCCUCUGCUCUUCCUUGCUCUCAGCCGCCUGCAAGGCAGCUGCCAUUCCCUGCUAUUGUCACUUAAAUGAAUUCCUUCCUUGCUUUUUGGAUAGUCUGACUUCCCUUGUUCCGGAACCAAAUUUCUUCCCUUGAGAAAGUUUUUCUUCCUCACCGAAGAUAGACGAGUGGUGUCCACUGACAGGCCACUUGACCACAGAGGUGUGGCUUCUUUACUCUGAAACAUCUUUCUUCUAGUUACUAUGAUAUUGAUGCCGGGGUUCUUGUUCAUGGCCGAAGAAUGAACUUCGCGAACAGUCAAGAGGCCCUCACCCUACUGUGUCUAAACCCAUGGUCCCUGUCUCAACCUCAGAUUUGUGAAAGCCAGGAAGACAGAUCUGAAUCCCAGCAUUUUACACAGACCUCCAUUCCCGAUUGGAGAUCUCAACAGCCCACUGUUACAGGGAACACGCCAAUGCCGUGAUUCUGCUAAUAUCACCAUUUUUGAGGAUCUUGCUUUUCUCAUGAGGAAUUCUUUGAUUCCUAUUUUAGCAGCUGUCUCCUGAGUAGACAAUAGUAAUGCGAUGGUGGGGGCUGGGCUGGAAAUGGUGGAUCAGGGUAGUGAGGUGGGCAGGCUCACAUUCUGGAAAUGUCUUUCUGGCCACUUUGUGGAGAACAGGUAAUGUAGAGAGGCCUCAGGACUGAGGUUGGGCUAGGACCUCUGUGAGGCAAGGUGAAGGGGAG